GCUGACCAUGCACACCUCGACGCCGCCCUUGACGCGCGGGUUAUCCCUGACCGGUAUGCACCUGCGAGGAUGAUCGUCGGUCGGUGAGGUACGUAGUGGACGUGAGUACUCGCGGAUGGAUGAACGACGACGAGGAGGAGGACGCGGAUUAGGACGAAUGGCUACAUCCAUCCUCGUUUAAUGAAGGUCACAAAAUGGGUUUAGGGAACCUCCGGCCGGGGGCGCGGGGUUUCGCGAGGACGGACGUCGCCGCGCGCGUUCCCAGCGCCCGUGAAGGGGACGAUCUCGGAUCGAUGCGAAGGGUGACGACGAUGCGAAGGGGUCACCUACCCGGCCACGAGCCUCUGGGAGUCUUGCGUGUACCGCUGCUUCUCGCGCCCUUGCCUGGACAUGAGAGGGGUUGGCUCGCCCGCCGGGUCCGUCGACAUCGUCGGUGGGGCUUCCAUCGGGGAAGACGGCGAGUCCGACGCCGAGGACGAUCCGCUACCGGAGUGGUGCACGCCGGUCAUGCUUCACGCUCCAGCCGAUGCGUCACGACCGACGUUCAGCGGCUCAUCGCGGGCGUCGCGUGCCCUCGAACGCGGGCGUUCCCGACUGACUGCGCGCCACCGGUUUGGACGGACGGGGUUGGUCCGAGUUGGAUGAAUUUUCCAACGCGGUGCGGUCCGCCGGAGACGCGCGCGCGCUCGUUGGUCGAGGCGCCGGUGGGCGAACGGACGCGGGUUUUGGACCCACGAAGGAGUCGACGCGACGCACGCGAUGUGCGCGCGGCGUUCUGGAUGCGCGACCGGCUCUGACGCGCCGCCGAACGCUGACGCGUGGGACCGCGACACUUGCG
rnacentral:lncRNA from 1 species